rnacentral:lncRNA from 1 species
CCUUCUCUUGAGAGGCAGGCGGGCCCUAGCUGCAGCGUCAAGGUCUGGGGAUUCUGUGGCUCUGUAGGGUGAAGGGCACUGGAGACCUACCAGGGGCUGGGCCAUUGGAGUGGUGGGUGCUGGGGAGCUUCCGUGGGCCCCUCCAGGUCCACUCCUUGCUCUUCUCUGCCUUGUUUUGUGCCCAGAAGGCUGACCUGUGUGGAUGCAUUAUCAGGGUGGAUGCAACACAGGGCUGCCAUGCUCUCUGGUAUCAGUUUGGAAGGCACUGGCAGGAUGGGAAGGCAGGCGGGGAGUGAGGUCAGGGGGCCUAUCCUUCCACUGCCUCCCUGCUGCUCCCUGACUGAUUCAGAGCCAGUCUUGGUGCUCUGUGUUCACCUGGUUCAUCUGAGGAGCUGCAUCUACCCUGCCCAUGCCAUAGAUCCUGCCCUGUUUGCUUCUCCUGUUGCUGCUAGUGGACAUGAGAAGGACAGAAUAACGGGCUCCCAGAUUCACAAGCCCCACCAAGAGGAUCACCCCAGGAACGCUUGGAGGCUGAGGAGUUCACUGAGGCUACUGCAUCUUGAGACUCAGGAUGAAGACCCAGCUUGGGGCUGUCAAAGGUUUUUUGCAUGUCUGACACCCAUGACUCCACCUGGACCUUAUGGCUCCACCCAGAAGCAAUUCAGCCCAACAGGAGGACAGCUUCAACCCAUUACGAUUUCAUCUCUGCCCCAACCACUCAGCAGCAAGCACCUGUUACCUGUCCACCCCCACCCCUUCCCCCAAACUGCCUUUGAAAAAUCCCUAACCUAUGAGCUUUGAAUAAGAUGAGUACGAACUUCAUCGCCCACGUGGCGUGGCCGGCCUCGUGUCUAUUAAAUUCUUUUUCUACUACAA